GUCACGGUAACAUCUAUUACAUUAUAUUAUGUUUUGGAUCACUCAUCUCCCACACUGCAUGAGGCCGCGGCGUGAACAACCCAGCCAGCCACUGCCACACAAGCAGUUUACCUGGCGGAUCACAGCUGGUGUCCUCAUAGCUCCCUCUGCCGAGCGCAGCAGCUCCGCACUGACAGCAUUUCCAUGGUAAUGACACGCCCACUUUAUAGACAUCCGUCGUACUUGCGCGUUCUAUGGGCGGGGCCUCCUGCGUCAGAACGCGAUGCCUGUACGCCGCACAGCUGGCCGCUAGAGUGAGUUACUGCCUGACUCUACUGGGCCGGCCCAGCCCCGCCGUAACAUAGACGGGCAUCCAGUCUGUGUGCCAGUACGGGCGGCAGGGCCUCCAUGAUCCAUUAGGACCAUUAUAUACUAGCCACGUUAUUGCGCACAUUCUUAAAUGUGCUCCGCUCUUCGUGCCAUGACCAGACUGUCACCUGAAUGACCUGACAAAUCAGCAGUUAGUCACCACCCUAUGGGCAUGAUUCCAAGUCACACGCGAUGGAAAUUUUCACAUUUUCUGCUGAAAUGGCCCAUAAAGCCUACGAUUUGACUAACCAGAGUCACCUUGAAGAAAUAAGAGAUUUUCUGCAGAAUGACGACGAGGGAGACCCAUGAGUUACUGAGGAUAUGGGGGAAGAGAGUGACAUUGAUUCUCAAGAUGAGGUGGAGGAACGUGAAGGUGAUUCAGGAAUGGAGCAAGAUUGUGAGGAGUCUAGUGAUGAUGAUGAUGAUGAUGAUGAUGAUGAAACAGGUGACACCUUUUUUGGGGGGAAAGAUAAGAAGACCAAGUGGUCCAAAAGGCCGCCCGUGAAAGUUCGUCGUAUGGGAACUCGCAACAUUAUCACUCACCUUCCUGGAGUCAGAGGAACUGCUAAGAAUGCUCAAACUGCAGUCGAAUGUUGGAAUAAUUUAUUCACUGACGAAAUCUUUGACACAAUUGUUAGGUACUCAAACCAGUACAUUGACAUUAUCAAGGACUAAUUUGCCAGAGAGAGGGACAUCAGACCCACAGAUGUCAUCGAAGGAAGGGCUUGAAAAGAUUUCGCCCCAUCGAUGAUCGAGAAAAUCCACCCACUCCUGCCUCCAAAAAGACGUAGAUGCAUCACCUGUACUGCAGAAAUGGGUCACAGAAGGAUGUCGAAUUAUGAAUGCCAUAAAUGUCACAAAGCGAUCUGCUUGCCCCAUGCAAAUAUGGUCUGCCAACCUUGCACUGCACUGUGCCAAUGCAUCUCUACUGCUGAACUUUCCAACAGUGAUUCCAAGUGAGACUGACACUGCCGUGCCUAUAUUUCAAAUUUUGUUUGUAAUUUUAAAGUUCAUUUGAUUUUUUUUUUGUCAUGAAAACUGAAGGCAAUGUGGUGACGGGUCUUAAAUUUCAGUAUUUUUUGUUUUACUUACUUUGAGGUGAAUAAAUUAGUUUUUUUUAAUCAAA